GCGCCCGUAGUUCAGUUGGAUAGAACAGCGACCUUCUAAGUCGCCUGUCGCAGGUUCGAGUCCUGCCGGGCGCG
rnacentral:tRNA from 2 species